UGGGGAAUAUUGGGCAAUGGGGGAAACCCUGACCCAGCAACGCCGCGUGAAGGAAGAAGGCCUUCGGGUUGUAAACUUCUUUGAUCAGGGAAGAAACAAAUGACGGUACCUGAAAAACAAGCCACGGCUAACUACGUGCCAGCAGCCGCGGUAAUACGUAGGUGGCAAGCGUUAUCCGGAUUUACUGGGUGUAAAGGGCGUGUAGGCGGUCUCAUAAGUCAGAUGUGAAAUUCCCGGGCUUAACCCGGGCGCUGCAUCUGAAACUGUGGGACUUGAGUACUGGAGAGGAUAGUGGAAUUCCUAGUGUAGCGGUAAAAUGCGUAGAUAUUAGGAGGAACACCGGUGGCGAAGGCGACUAUCUGGACAGUAACUGACGCUGAGGCGCGAAAGCGUGGGGAGC
rnacentral:rRNA from 1 species